UUUUGCAGUCUGCUAAUAAAAUUGAUUAAUAGCCCAGAAGGACUGUGCACUUCGCUGUGACAUGGAGGAAAUAGACUUAGGUUUUAGGAAUAAAACCUGGUGUGCGCAUUGCUUUACAAAGAUUUAAUCUUCCUACGUGAUGAUAUCAUGACUUUUGGACAGCAGACAGCUUUCAUUUUACAAAUAAAUAGAAGGCUGUUCUGGAACCUCAUAAGGCUGCAACAGAAGUGUUGGGGAUUGUGCUCAAAGUCUUGGAAACUUCUUAUUCUUGAACACUCAAACUCUGGUCCACUCAUCAUCUCAGGUCUCCAAAAAUGCAGAGGAGGUAUACAUCUUGCCACGUUCCUGUGAUAAUAUAUAGACUGAAUCCUAAGACGUAGAAAGUUUAGAUCCAUAUCAAUUCAUUCAACUUAAAAAUCCACC
ensembl:lncRNA